rnacentral:rRNA from 1 species
AUUGAACGCUGGCGGCAGGCCUAACACAUGCAAGUCGAGCGGUAGCAGGGUCUGUAGCAAUACAGAUUGCUGACGAGCGGCGGACGGGUGAGUAAUACGUAGGAACCUGCCCUUGAGCGGGGGACAACCAAGGGAAACUUUGGCUAAUACCGCAUAAUCUCGAGAGAGGAAAGCUGCUGAAAGGCGGCACUCGAGGAGGGGCCUGCGUCCGAUUAGCCAGUUGGUAGGGUAAGAGCCUACCAAGGCGAUGAUCGGUAACUGGUCUGAGAGGACGACCAGUCACACUGGGACUAAGACACGGCCCAGGCCUCUACGGGAGGCAGCAGUGGGGAAUAUUGGACAAUGGGGGCAACUCUGAUCCAGCGAUGCCGCGUGAGUGAAGAAGGCCUUCGGGGCGUAAAGCUCUUUAGGUUGGGAAGAAGGUUAGUUGAGGAAAUGCGACUAAUUUGACGGUACCGACAGAAUAAGCACCGGCAAACUCUGUGCCAGCAGCCGCGGUAAUAC